GCUUAAAAACUAGCCCCAAUAGUCAUCAAAUCUUACCAAAACACAAAACAAAUCAUUUGUCACGUUUAGUAUCUGCGACAGAAAUACAACUCAGGCGCCAUAGAGACCAGUAUCGUUAGAGAAAGUUGAAAUAAAAAUGAAAAAUAAAAGCAAAGAGAGCAAAGACUGCCCCUUGUACCUCUUGCAUCAGGGUCUAGCAAGAAGCACCUAGGCAAAAAGACCUUAAGCCUACUCCCCCGAAACCGCGCGAGCUAUCUCAAGACAACUAUUUGAGUCAACUCGUCCCUGUAGCAAAAGGGUGAGAAGAUCUUGAGAUAGAAGUGAAAUGCCAAACGAGCCCGGAAAUAGCUGGUUGCUCGAAAAACGAAUUUUAGUUCAACUUUAAGCAACUACAAAUAACACAGUUCAAUGCAGCUUAAAAGUUAUUCAAUCAGGGGACAGCUUGAUUGAACCAGGAUACAGCCUGAUUUAGCGAGAACUAAUUGAGUGCUCUAGCCGUCGGCCUUAAAGCAGCCACCAAGAACCAAACGCGUCACAGCACCACACAAAAAAUUCUUAUCCUCACCAAAACCUCCUAAUACGCAUAUCGAGCCACCCCAUACAAGUAUGGACGAGCUAAUGCUAGAACUAGUAACAAGAUCAAACAAUCUCUUGACAUCCCUGUAAGUCAGAAAUAGCCCACCUACUGAUAAUUAACAGACCACAAAAGGCACUAAACACUGUUACCCCAACACAGGAGUGUAUACAAGAAAGAUUAAAAGGCAUAAAAGGAAUUCGGCAAAAAAGACCCCAACUGUUUACCAAAAACAUAGCCUAUAGCAACACAAGUAUUAUAGGCGUAGCCUGCCCAGUGAAACUCUUUUAAACGGCCGCGGUAUCCUAACCGUGCAAAGGUAGCGCAAUCACUUGUCCCCUAAAUAGGGACCAGUAUGAAUGGCCAAAUGAGGGUCUACCUGUCUCCUGCGCCUAAUCAAUGAAACUGAUCUCCCGGUACAAAAGCCGGAAUAGCCACAUAAGACGAGAAGACCCUGUGGAGCUUCAAACUAGUAACUACCAGCACUAGUUACCCGUUUUAAGUUGGGGCAACUUUGGAAAUAAAAUAACCUCCAAGACAAACAGGCACCUACCCCUGAACUAAGGUCAACACACCAAAGAAAACCUUCAGACCCAGUAAUACUGAGCAACGAACCAAGUUACCCCAGGGAUAACAGCGCUAUCUUCCCCCAGAGUUCAUAUCGACAGGAAGGAUUACGACCUCGAUGUUGGAUCAGGACAUCCAAGUGGUGCAGCCGCCACUAAAGGUUCGUUUGUUCAACGAUUAAAGUCCUACGUGAUCUGAGUUCAGACCGGAGCAAUCCAGGUCGGUUUCUAUCUAUGAAACGUGCCUUACCAGUACGAAAGGAAAGUAUGGCAGGGGCCAAUACUAUAAAGGUAUGCCCCCCUCUAAAAACACUGAUAACCUAAAGUGAUAUAAGAGCAAUCUUGCUUCCGCCUCAAGGAAGAUCACUUUGUU
rnacentral:rRNA from 1 species